UACGUAGGGUGCAAGCGUUAAUCGGAAUUACUGGGCGUAAAGCGUGCGCAGGCGGUUGUGUAAGACAGAUGUGAAAUCCCCGGGCUCAACCUGGGAACUGCAUUUGUGACUGCACGGCUGGAGUGCGGCAGAGGGGGAUGGAAUUCCGCGUGUAGCAGUGAAAUGCGUAGAUAUCUGGAGGAACACCGGUGGCGAAGGCGGCAUCCUGGACCGAGAUUGACGCUGAUGCGCGAAAGCCAGGGGAGCAAACGGG
rnacentral:rRNA from 1 species